rnacentral:rRNA from 1 species
AUGAACGCUGGCGGCGUGCUUAACACAUGCAAGUCGAACGGUGAAGGCGGAGCUUGCUCUGCUGGAUCAGUGGCGAACGGGUGAGUAACUCGUGAGCAAUCUGCCCCUGACUCUGGGAUAAGCGCUGGAAACGGCGUCUAAUACUGGAUACGAGCUGCGAAGGCAUCUUCAGCAGCUGGAAAGAACUUCGGUCAGGGAUGAGCUCGCGGCCUAUCAGCUUGUUGGUGAGGUAACGGCUCACCAAGGCGUCGACGGGUAGCCGGCCUGAGAGGGUGACCGGCCACACUGGGACUGAGACACGGCCCAGACUCCUACGGGAGGCAGCAGUGGGGAGUAUUGCACAAUGGGCGAAAGCCUGAUGCAGCAACGCCGCGUGAGGGACGACGGCCUUCGGGUUGUAAACCUCUUUUAGCAGGGAAGAAGCGAAAGUGACGGUACCUGCAGAAAAAGCGCCGGCUAACUACGUG